rnacentral:rRNA from 1 species
AGUGAACGCUGGCGGUAGGCCUAACACAUGCAAGUCGAACGGCAGCACAGUAAGAGCUUGCUCUUACGGGUGGCGAGUGGCGGACGGGUGAGGAAUACAUCGGAAUCUACUUUUUCGUGGGGGAUAACGUAGGGAAACUUACGCUAAUACCGCAUACGACCUACGGGUGAAAGCAGGGGAUCUUCGGACCUUGCGCGAUUGAAUGAGCCGAUGUCGGAUUAGCUAGUUGGCGGGGUAAAGGCCCACCAAGGCGACGAUCCGUAGCUGGUCUGAGAGGAUGAUCAGCCACACUGGAACUGAGACACGGUCCAGACUCCUACGGGAGGCAGCAGUGGGGAAUAUUGGACAAUGGGCUCAAGCCUGAUCCAGCCAUACCGCGUGGGUGAAGAAGGCCUUCGGGUUGUAAAGCCCUUUUGUUGGGAAAGAAAAGCAGCAGGUUAAUACCCCGCUGUUCUGACGGUACCCAAAGAAUAAGCACCGGCUAACUUCGUG